UACGGAGGGUGCAAGCGUUAAUCGGAAUUACUGGGCGUAAAGCGCGCGUAGGCGGUUUGUUAAGCGAGAUGUGAAAGCCCUGGGCUUAACCUGGGAACUGCAUUUCGACCUGGCAAGCCAGAGUGUAGAAGAGGGGUGUGGAAUUUCCGGUGUAGCGGUGAAAUGCGUUUAGAUCGGAAGGAACACCAGUGGCGAAGGCGACACCCUGGUCUAACACUGACGCUGAGGUGCGAAAGCGUGGGUAGCAAACAGG
rnacentral:misc_RNA from 1 species